GAAGAGCAGCUCGGAUCCUCGGGGAUGGACGUGGGGGGGAUUGGUGCCGCCGGGAGCAUAGUCGACGCGGGCAAAAGCUACACCAAAGGUGUUGAGACCGGGGAAAUUGUUGACACUCGCCAGCGUGACGUUGGAGCCGAGCUUGUUGUCGGUGUUCCCGGGAGUCGCCAGCAGGCUCGACUUGAAGUCCUCGGCUUUCACAUCGGCGGCCGCCUUGCAGACCACGCCGUUCACUUUGAUCUUGGAGCCAUUGUCCGCAACGCAAAAGUCCUGCAGCAUAUCUUCAUCCGCGGCAUGCACAAACAAGAUGGAGCUGAUUGCUAGGAGGAAGGAUAGAACAAAACGAAGAUGAGCCAUCUUGCGAGCUUGGAAAAGACUGAUGGAGCUAUAUGAGGGAGGGGCAGGCAUUUUAUAGCCGGAGGAGGGAAGGCGAGGUCCUUUGGAUGACUUCGUCGUGAAUCGUGCACGAUUUUAGGUACACGGUCUUUUCUUCCCUUCUAUUUCAUUUUUUACUCUUGCUGUCCGCGUAACACAAUCUGAUUUGUUUGCUGCCAAGUCGUCUCAGAAGUUUUCUUUUACCGGGCUUGUCUAGAGCUGUCAAAUUCAUCUUUUAUGUGUGUAGAUGAUGACGACCUUGGUUUUGAUGGUCAGAAUGAAACUCGAGUUUUACACGGUUUUAAAAACUUGACACUAAAUUGCUUUGUUCUUCUACCAGAGACUUUUUAUGUGUGGAGUUUUAACGGAAUUAUUAUGGAUUGUGUAGGUCCAUUGCUGAUACAAAUAAACUAUGGGUAUAUCGACCAAAGGUACGUCUAUGUAGGUUAUCAAUUUUGCAGACAACUGUGUAAAAGGAUAGUUGCUCACAUAGUCAUGAGACAUACAUAGUUAUAGUCAUUGUGAUUAUUGCUUGCAUCAUUGUCAUGGGCAAAAUAGAAUGUUUAUUGCUGCCACUUUAUUAAUUAGUUUAAUGCAAUAAACUUAUGAUAUUAAAAAGUUUUAUAAUUUGUCCCACCAGUGCAAUCUAGGAAAGCAUCCAGUUGGGGUGGUGGGAGUGAACUGAGAGAUACUCCUAUGCUGCUGUGUGAGCAUGUCAAUCAGUCAGCUGACCUCAGUAUCAGUGGUCGUGGGCAGUGCAUUCUAAAGCUCUUGGACUUGUUGGGCAAAGUCGGGCACCCAUGCUGGCAUGACUUGGUCGUGAUUCUGGUUGUUGAUAGGAGUGUUGUAAGUAGCAUAUGCAUCCUAGUCAGACAUGAGGCGGUCAAGAACUCUUGGAAUUCCCUGCCAUUGCAAAGAAACAAAGAAAAAAUAUCAAUGGCUAACUUUCAUUCACCAUUUUGUCAAGGAAAAAUCUAAACAAUACACCACAUUAUUAAAGAAUAGUUUGGCUGACCAAGAUGUAAUCGUUUGUACUACUCCUGUUCCAUCUAUGGUGCCCAAUUGUGUAGUGCUGUUAAUAAUGUAGAGUUGAGAGGCAUUAUUAGUCAUGUGGAUGUCCUCUGCUGCUGCCUGGUUCGAGGAGCCCUUCCGCUGUUGUGAGUUGAGCCUGCAAAGUCCGUUGCAAUAUUAAAAACGUUUAACUGCCCAGUCAGCCUCACUGGUUUGAUCGGUCAGUGUAUAGUUUUAUCUUAAGAGUAACAUUCCACGAACUAGAGAGUAGAAUUUAGCUGCUCAACCAAAGUCCCACCCAUAUCCAUAACCCAUGCCUUGUCCACCAGUGGAAUCAACUCUCUGCGAGGAAAGAAAAUAAGAUCCAAGCACUAAUCACGCAAGUUUACCGCAGAUCAUGGCUCACAACGAGCAACGUCCUCUCCUUCUUUAAGUACGCGAGGUAAGAAUGUAGCUUGGAAUUUUUGGUGACGUGUUGCUGAUCUCUCUAUCUCUUGAAGCGCCCGAAGAGACAACGCAUGUUACUUUCGAUGAAUCGGCUGUUUCCCUCCCACAACCGGCCAAGACACACAACUCGGCUUGCAAAAAUGGCGAAGAGGUUUGCAAUUUUUCUUUCCUUCUCUAUAUACUGAAGUCUUAAGCUUGCAAGGGUGCCAGAAUGCUGAAACGGAUUCUACCAGCCAGUGAGCUUGUUUACGUUUCGCGUGGCUAUUGGUGAAAUUCAUGGUGUUCUUGCUUUUAAGGUUGCUUCGACUCGACUAUGCUGCGGCGAUGCGUCCCCAUCCUGAGAAGGUGCAAAGCUUACUUGCUAAUUUUUGUAGAUCUUCUAAGCUUUGCUGUUUACAGGCUCAAAGAGGGGGUGAAGAUGCCUUCGUCACAGAAGGCUCCUGGAUGGGUGUUGCUGAUGGUUCUGGGGGCUGGGCCGGAGAAGGUAAGACAAAUCUUUCUUUGAGUCUGUUUCUUCAAAAGAGUUUUUACUGGUUUUCAGGCAUUGAUUCGGGGAUGUAUUCUCGGGAGCUUAUGGGACACUGUAAGGCAUUGGUUGUAAACAGCAAAGGGAAACCGGACCCCAAGGACGUGCUUGUCAAAGCCGCCGGCAGUACAAAGGCCCAGGGAUCAGCAACGGUCCUUGUGGCUGCAUUGUUUGAGCAAGUAAGCUAGUCGGAUUUGAUGUUUGAGGCUGAGUCGGGUCAUAUAUUUCAGACAUGUACGCAGCAAACUUGGGAGACUUGGGUUCAUCAUAGUUCGCAAUUGGCAAGUAGUUGCAAGCUCGGAGCCCAUGCAGCAUAGUUUUAACUUUCCGUUUCAAGUUGGAACAUUUGGUGACCAUCCGACGGUUGCAGAGGUACUCUUGCUUUUCCCUUAACUUCGCUAAUUUUCCGUUUACAGGAAUUCAAGAUCCCUGUCUGCAAGGGGGACAUCAUUGUUUUGGGAACUGAUGGCCUUUUUGACAAUCUCUUCAACAACGACAUAAUCGAAGUUCUUAAAAAAUCUGACCAAGUCAACUUCAAGGUGAACUCUCGCUGUUAAGAUUGCUAAUAUUCUCUUCACUUUACAGGCAUGUAGCUGGGACGUAGGCCGAGCGUUUGGACAGCCCGUUUGCUAGGGGGGCUGCAAAGGCGAGAAUGAAUUGGAGCGGUGGAAAGCUGUUGUGGCGUUUGUGACGUGAUAUUUGAGUCGCGAAGGGUAAACUUUUCAAGCAGUUUUUGCGGAGGCCAGUGUAAAUUGCUCAGGCCGCGGUAUUUCCGGUUCUUACGCUAAUUGAGGUAUGACACCUUUUUGAUUUUAUUCAAACGGCUCAUCUUCGUGUCUUUGGUGUCUAGCCUUCAUUAGAAACUGGUUUAAAUCGCACGUAGCUGCUGCUGAAUCUUCCUUUAAGAAAUCAAGGUUUUGUUCCAUCAGAAGCUUCACAGCGUGGAAGUUCUAGCCUCACUGGAGAUUGAACUCCGGACAGGACAGGUAUCUCUUCUGUUUAGAGGGAACUGCUCAGGGUGUUAGACAUGUCAGGGAAUCAGUUCAGCUGGACGAUCACGAGCCGGCAACAUGAUCUCUGGCUCGUCCUUCUCGGGGGUACAUCGAGCUGCUAGGCCUUUGGCACGAUGGGAUCUUUCGCAACUGCGUGGCUCUCCAGGAGCUCUUCAACAGUCUCACUCCCCCGUCCAGCAGCAAACUCCGGAAUGUCAUUCUCGGCUCUACAUCUCUCAGCCAUCCAAAUGGGUGUGCGGGCUUGGAAGUGCUCGAACAACGUUUCGGAGGAGCACGUGUGGGCUGUAUCUUGUCUCUCAGCUUGGGCAGACUCUUUGAGUUUGCUCGGAUCUCUCGGAGAACCGGUUGGAGGGGCUGGUUCUGAAGGACUAAGUGGUGGAAACCCUGCUACGGUCGGAUAGCAACAAAGAGCUCACGGAGAACAGCUUGAAGGACAGCUCCAGGCGAGCUCGUGUGGAAGAUCCUUGGAUACCGCUCUCAUCCCAGUACCGUGAGACUCCACCAGAAAGAUGGUGAGCGACGAAGUCAAUUGGCUGGAGCUGUGAGUUCCUUCUUCGUCUUGAGUAUUUGGUCGCGUGUCCCGUCCACAUGGUAAGCCACGGAAUUGUUUCUUAGUUGCUCAAAUCUUAAUUCUUUCUGAUCUUCAGGUUAGUAAUCACCAUCACCAACUAAGAGGAAUUUUUUGCAUUGAGGUGGAGUUCGGGAGGCAACUUUCCAGGAUCGGAGGAUGAAAAGUUACAGCCCGAGCUUGCUGUUCUUCGUGCUCCUCUUCUCCGCUGCAGCACUGCUACUCAUAUGGGUUCUCGACAUAAAUUCCGACUCUGCGAUGAUGUCCCGGAGCCGAACUCUGGGAUCAAACUUCCGGAUCAGCAACAACACCACAAGCUACAACGGCAGCGACACUUGCAGGAGCAGGAACGAGUACGACUUCUACAGCCGCCGAAGAUCGACGAGCUUCGAGCCAUCCGAGUCGCUCCAAAGGAAAAUCCUAGAGUGGAGGCUUUGCGCGGGAGGUGCGCUCCGGGGCCCGAGCAGUGCGCGAACUGUAGUACAUGCGGCUACCUCGUCUACGUUCCCGCCAGCCAGGGGAUCGGCAACAAGAUGGUGGCUAUAGUAGCAGCGUUUCUCUACCCGCUGCUCACCGACAGGACGAUGCUGAUCGCGAGGUUGGAGAACCUGGACACGCUCUUCUGCGAGCCGUUUCCACCCAGCUCCUGGCUGCUGCCGUCGAGCUGGAAGCACCUCGAGUUGGCGCCGUGGGACGCCUCCAAGUGGAUUGGAAGCCUGGUGGGAUCGCCCAACUGCAGCCGCGGCGUCGACGUGAGCUUGGUGGCCUAUCUCGAUUACAACUACAGGGACCAGGACAAGGCCUUCUUCUGCCAAGAUCAACAGCAAGCUCUUAACUCCAGCGCGCGGUGGAUCGUCCUCUCCUCCGGCCAGUACUUCACUCCGGCACUCUACAACGUCCCGGCUUUCAGGAGCAAGCUCGAGGAAUGGUUCCCACAGCAGGAGGCCAUCUUCCAUCUCCUGGUGAGGUACCUGUUGCUUCCCAGUGACUUCGGGACAAGGCGGCCAGGUACUACGACGCGUACCUGGCCCAGGCCGAGCUUCUAGUCGGGGUCCAGCUGCGAAGCCACAUCUGGUUCUCGCCACCCAACCUCGCCGAGGAUACGUUCGACUGCCUGGUGCAACAAGGCGCGCUCGCAAACACCACCCAGGAGCGAGCUCCCAGAUCGUCGGUGAGGAAGAACAGCAAGAAGGUGGCGGUGCUGGUGGUGUCGCUCAACUUGCAGUACUCGGAGACGCUCAAGAGCAAGGUGCUGGGAUACGAUCUAGCGGACGGCUCCUCGGUGUCCAUCCACCAGCCGAGCGUGGAGGGCGUGCAAAACACAGGGAACUUGGAUCACGACGCACAGGCGGUGAUGGAGAUCUACUUGCUGUCGAUGAGCGAUGUCCUGGUGACGAGCCCGCCAUCCACGUUUGGCUACUCGGCGGCGGGGCUGGAGGGCGUGCGGCCCGUGCAGUUCGUGUGCGACCAGAACAAGAGCGUGGUCUGCUCGGUGAGGGAGACGAUGGAGCCGUGCUACCACGUUUAUCCGGCUCAAUUCGCGCUGGACAACAUUGAAAAGUGCGAAUGCGGCAUGGGUUUCAGACUAGUCUAAAGUACAUUCUUAGAAAGGGUGUUGUCUUAGAAAGUUCUUAAAGCUUUUAAAAUUUUAUUUUCUUUCUCGUGAUAGAUUUCUAAGUUGCUCCUUGGCUGCAUCACGCAAAUCUAGCGUCAUUUGUAGACUUGCGUGGUCAGGUCAUGCUCUUGGCCCAUGCAAAGUUGCACCAAGGCUGCCUGGAAAUCCAGGUAAUUUGGUACCAAGAGCUUAUAGACUUCAAAUGGCGAGCUGUCUUUUGUGCAGGACUUUGAAAAACUGCUCGUAGAGUGUUCUGGCUUGGAAGCUAACGAGUCUUGUUUUGACAGAUGGCACGUGCAAAGGACUUGACUGUUUACCAAGCCCGGUGGAGAACUUUCUAUGUGAAUGAAUAUAAAACACUGGAGGCCCAUUGGAUCCAAUCGUAGCAGAGCAAGCACAGCUCUUGGUUCUUAUACAACGAUAUCAUCACUACGUUUAGUGCUUUUGUGGCUGGAAUGGAUCGUGGAAGGAUACUUCUUGCCAUCACAUUGGUGAUCAUGAUCAGCGGCAAUAUCGAUUGUUCCAGGCCAGGCUCAUUUUUGGUGAUGAGCCAACAGGCCGAGCUUUUCAAUUUCGAAUUGCGCCUUCCUGUUGCUAACAAGAUCCACACUCUUCUCGAAAGGACCUCCCGGAGAAUGCUCAUCCAGGGUCAGCCCACGCCACCCUCCGGCCCUUCCGAGGACAACCACGAUCAUGAUUGAAGAGGCGGACAGCCACGUGGCUGACACGUCACGCAAGGAGACACGUCAGGCUCUUUCCAUCUGGCGGCGAAUUCUCCUCCAAAUCCUUCACCUCCACUUCUUUUCCCAUUCUUUCGCACCUCCGCUCCCUCCCAUUACAGUCACACACCCAGCAUGCGUCCAGGAGGGGACGUCUCACCAAGGUGUGGGGAAUGAUAAAGGCAACUUUCCAUUUUUCCCUGUCAACUUCAAGAGACUUGAGAGCCGCUUGGAAUUCCCAGAAGUUCCACUCCAGCAAGUAAAGUCUCCACAAAACUUUCAGGGAUGUCGUGUACAGCUGCGAGCAAUCAGCCGUGGUGGUGGCUUGCCCUUGUUCUGGCGAGAAGAUCUGCAAAGAGGAGCGGCUGCAGUGAGUCUCGAAGAUUCGCAGGUCGUUCGGAUUGGGCAUGGCUUGAGGGCCGGGCAGGGCAGGAGGGACAAGAGCCGGUGGUGCUAGAGCAGGCUGCAGAGGGAAGUGGGCAGCACUGGCAAAGGCAGAUUUUCUCCCACUUGACGUGAUGCAGUCUCAUUGAAAUGCACGUCUGGUGAGAUGAUCAGCGUCUUGGAGACAGGAUUGUAGACUUUGUAAGCCAAUGCUAUAGCCUAGGAAAAUGCCUCGUUCGCUUGUUGAAGUGAGUUUUUUUCUAGUUUUAGAGGGGAUAUGGACGCCAUGGAAGGUGCGCUAAUCCAUUUGAAUUCCACUUUGUGCAAGAACUUGACAAUCCUGGACCUCAACAUUGGCAAGCACUUAAACGUGUCUUACGAGAUAUGUUUCCUUACAGUCUUAAGGCCACGAGUCAAGCUUACUGGGCUGGCUUUGGCUAUAUUGUUUAGCCUUCACAAUGCAAUUGACAGCAAGAAGAAGAGCGUCGUUGCCUGCUCCAGCUGUGAGGCGGAGGCUAGUUCCGCAUGCAAAGAGGCCAUCUGGCUUCGCCACCUCCUCCUCAACGACACCCGGCCCAACACCAAUCUACUGUGACAAUCAAAGCUACAUUGCCUCGAGCAAACAUCACAAGAUUAAUUCCCGGACAAAACACGCACUAGGCUAAAGGAGAUAUUUUCUCAGCUUGCCAAAAGCCUCUUCUAACACAUGCUUGAGGGUUAGAGAGGGCUUGGGUGAGUUGGCAAGGUGUAGUUUUGGUCUUUCCCUUGAACAUUGUAAGAUCAUGGACCUCACUUCACUACAGUGUCACCUUUAGCCCAUUACAAUGCUGCAUAAAGGGAUCACUGCGUUUGCUCAUUGUGGCGAGGGCGAGAAAGUCCCGGAUGGGAGCGUGGAAGGUGACACUCCGGCCUGCGCCUACAUCAGCUCCGUGAAUCGCAUCAAGGAUUUCUUUCUUCUCGUGACAGGGGAUUUUAGGAUCGCACCAGGCACAGCUAACUGGAGAAUGCCAAGGAAUUGCUGCGUGCCAUGCCGUUUGUGCCGGAUGCUCUGGUUUGUAGGGUUUUGGUGGCAUCUUGCCGAUCGCAUUACGAUAUAUUUCGGGCAUUGGAUCGACAUAUGUCCUGGCAAAUCGCUCCAGGAGCGUGUUUAAAAUGGAAAUUGGCGGGAAAGCGAUGUGUUUGUUUUUUAUUCUAUCUAGCUGUGCUUACGAAAGUUUCCGAAAGGUAAGAGCUUUGGAAAAAUAAUUUAUUUAUAUAUGUAACUUAGUCAAGUCAGCCUCGCAACCUUUGGAGAAACUUUCAAGUCAUGCCGAUGAGCUCUCUCAACUUCUGGAUGAGACCACGGUCGUCAAUCUGGAACGCUUUCGCGAUCACGUCGUCGUUGAUUGGAGGAUUGGAAUCAAACACCGCCUUGGCCACCUGAGUCGCCCCGGGGUUUUGGCUGUUGAAGCCAGCCAUCGCAACCGCAGGCUCCUUUCCAACGUUAAGCUGAAAGUGGACGAGUCCCCGAGGGAAGACGAACAGAUCUCCAGGAUAGAGCAUUUGGGCGAAGAGCUUGUUGUCCGGCAAGGUGGUGACGAAUCCGACUAAGAGGUUCCCGUGCACGAGGAAGAGCAGCUCGGAUCCUCGGGGAUGGACGUGGGGGGGAUUGGUGCCGCCAGGAGCAUAGUCGACGCGGGCAAAAGCUACACCAAAGGUGUUGAGACCGGGGAAAUUGUUGACACUCGCCAGCGUGACGUUGGAGCCGAGCUUGUUGUCGGUGUUCCCGGGAGUUGCCAGCAGGCUCGACUUGAAGUCCUCGGCUUUCACAUCGGCGGCCGCCUUGCAGACCACGCCGUUCACUUUGAUCUUGGAGCCAUUGUCUGCAACGCAAAAGUCCUGCAGCAUAUCUUCAUCCGCGGCAUGCACAAACAAGAUGGAGCUGAUUGCUAGGAGGAAGGAUAGAACAAAACGAAGAUGAGCCAUCUUGCGAGCUUGGAAAAGACUGAUGGAGCUAUAUGAGGGAGGGGCAGGCAUUUUAUAGCCGGAGGAGGGGAGGCGAGGUCCUUUGGAUGACUUCGUCGUGAAUCGUGCACGAUUUUAGGUACACGGUCUUCUCUUCCCUUCUAUUUCAUUUUUUUACUCUUGCUGUCCGCGUAACACAAUCUGAUUUGUUUGCUGCCAAGUCGUCUCGGAAGUUUUCUUUUACCGGGCUUGUCUAGAGCCGUCAAAAUCAUCUUUUCUGUGUGUAGAUGAUGACGACCUUGGUUUUGAUGGUAAGAACUGGUCUCAGUGAAACUCGAGUUUUACACGGUCUUGGUAAAAACUUGACACUAAAUUGCUUGGCACCAGAGUUUUAACGGAAUUAUUAUGGAUUGUGUAGGUCCAUUGCUGAUACAAAUAAACCAUGGGUAUACUGACCAAAGGUACGUCUAUGUAGGUUAUCAAUUUUGCAGACAACUGUGUUGUUAGAAGGAUGGUUGCUCACAUAGUCAUGAGACAUACAUAGUCUUAGUCAUUGUGAUUAUUGCUUGCAUCAUUGUCAUGGGCAAAAUAGAAUGUUUAUUGCUGCCACUUUAUUAAUUAGUUUAAUGCAAUAAACUUAUGAUAUUAAAAAGUUUUAUAAUUUGUCCCACCAGUGCAAUCUAGGAAAGCAUCCAGUUGGGGUGGUGGGAGUGAACUGAGAGAUACUCCUAUGCUGCUGUGUGAGCAUGUCAAUCAGUCAGCUGACCUCAGUAUCAGUGGUCGUGGGCAGUGCAUUCUAAAGCUCUUGGACUUGUUGGGCAAAGUCGGGCACCCAUGCUGGCAUGACUUGGUCGUGAUUCUGGUUGUUGAUAGGAGUGUUGUAAGUAGCAUAUGCAUCCUAGUCAGACAUGAGGCGGUCAAGAACUCUUGGAAUUCCCUGCCAUUGCAAAGAAACAAAGAAAAAAUAUCAAUGGCUAACUUUCAUUCACCAUUUUGUCAAGGAAAAAUCUAAACAAUACACCACAUUAUUAAAGAAUAGUUUGGCUGACCAAGAUGUAAUCGUUUGUACUACUCCUGUUCCAUCUAUGGUGCCCAAUUGUGUAGUGCUGUUAAUAAUGUAGAGUUGAGAGGCAUUAUUAGUCAUGUGGAUGUCCUCUGCUGCUGCCUGGUUCGAGGAGCCCUUCCGCUGUUGUGAGUUGAGCCUGCAAAGUCCGUUGCAAUAUUAAAAACGUUUAACUGCCCAGUCAGCCUCACUGGUUUGAUCGGUCAGUGUAUAGUUUUAUCUUAAGAGUAACAUUCCACGAACUAGAGAGUAGAAUUUAGCUGCUCAACCAAAGUCCCACCCAUAUCCAUAACCCAUGCCUUGUCCACCAGUGGAAUCAACUCUCUGCGAGGAAAGAAAAUAAGAUCCAAGCACUAAUCACGCAAGUUUACCGCAGAUCAUGGCUCACAACGUCCUCUCCUUCUUUAAGUACACGAGGUAAGAAUGUAGCUUGGAAUUUUUGGUGAGGUGUUGCUGAUCUCUCUAUCUCUUGAAGCGCCCGAAGAGUCAACGCAUGUUACUUUCGAUGAAUCGGCUGUUUCCCUCCCACAACCGGCCAAGACACACAGCUCGGCUUGCAAAAGUGACGAAGAGGUUUGCAAAUUUUUUUCCCUUCUCUAUAUACUGAAGUCUCAAGCUUGCAGGGGUGCCAGAAUGCUGAAACGGAUUCAAAUCUCACAUCCCGAGUCAAUGCUAUUGCCGACAUAUUGUCACAGUAGAGUUUGACUGCUGGAAUUUGAAUCCCGAGGUCCUGCAGCAAUGUCUUAAGCCAGAUGGCCUCUUUCGCUGCUGCUGCAGCUGUGAUGUAUUCAGAUUUGCAUGAGAACAUCGUAGUGAUCUAUUGCCUCUUGGAACACUAACUAACCAUGUGAUGGUUAUACAUGAAGACAUACCCUGAGGUGGAUCUUUUGUCAUCUGGAUCUCCUGCCCAGUCUACAUCUGUGAAUCCCACCAGGCCGUUGUCUCCAUCUCCUCUUGCAUAUUUUAGUGUGAAUUUCCUUGUGCCACUCAUAUACCUCAUGAUCUGCUUCACAACGGCUCAAUGUGAGGGUGAUGGAUUGUCCAGGAACUUUGAGACUGCUCCCACAUUGAAUGCGAGGUCAAGCUUAGUUGAGACCAUCAAGUAGAUGAGGCUCCCGACCACUGAACGGUACAGUGUUGUGGUCUCCUCCUCGGGAGUGUCAUCAGAGGUUGAUGUCAAACUUCUCCAGAGGUAUUCUAUGCUUAACGCUAAUCCGGUGGCUACUCCUAUGGAAGUAGGCUCAAAGUUGUCCAAAGCUUUUAUGUCAUGGAUGUAUUUAGGAGAGCUCAAGUACUCCACAUUGCUUAUCAGUGCAAGUUUCCCAGAUCCGUCAUCUCAAAUCUAGCAGCGAGAGAGGCCUUGAUGUGGUGGAUGAGUUGUAUCUAGUUAUUGUAUCGUCCACAUAUAAGGCUAAGAAUAGAAAUCCUUGGCCAUCUCGGUAUAUGUAGAGAUUAUUAUCAGCCGUGCUACGAGUAAAGCCCAACGAGGUCAGAAAGUUGUUAAUUUUAGUGUACCAUGACCUGGGCCUUUGUUUCAGCCCGUAGAGAGCGUCACCACAUUGCCGGACAACAAGCUCUUCGCCCAAAUGCUCUAUCCCGGAGAUCUGUUCGUCUUCCCUCGGGGACUCGUUCACUUCCAGCUCAAUGUUGGAAAGGAGCCUGCGGUUGCGAUGGCUGGCUUCAACAGCCAAAACCCCGGGGCGACUCAGGUGGCCAAGGCGGUGUUUGAUUCCAAUCCUCCAAUCAAUGACGACGUGAUCGCGAAAGCGUUCCAGAUUGACGACCGUGGUCUCAUCCAGAAGCUGAGAGAGCUCAUCGGCAUGACUUGAAAGUUUCUCCAAAGGUUGCGAGGCUGACUUGACUAAGUUACAUAUACAAAUAAAUUAUUUUUCCAAAGCUCUUACCUUUAGAUAGUGGAGACUUUCGUAAGCACAGCUAGAUAGAAUAAAAAACAAACACAUCGCUUUCCCGCCAAUUUCCAUUUUAAACACGCUCUUGGAGCGAUUUGCCAGGACAUAUGUCGAUCCAAUGCCCAAAACAUAUCGUAAUGCGAUCGGCAAGAUGCCACCAAAACCCUACAAACCAGAGCAUCCGGCACAAACGAGCAAUUCCUCGGCAUUCUCCAGUUGCCUGCCACGGCCGAAGAUAUCGAUCAUGCAGACGAACUGAUCCCUGCCUGGCGCGAUCCUAAAAUCCUCUGUCACGAGAAGAAAGAAAUCCUUGUUGCGAUUCACGGAGCUGAUGUAGGCACAGGCCGGAGUGUCACCUUUCUCAUUGCGCCCUCGCCACAAUGAGCAAACGCAGUGAUCCCUUUAUGCAGCAUUGUAAUGGGCUAAAGGUGACACUGUAGUGAAGUGAGGUCCAUGAUCUUACAAUGUUCAAGGGAAAGACCAAAACUACACCUUGUCAACUCACCCAAGCCCUCUCUAAGGGGCUUUUGGCAAGAUGACAAAGUAUCUCCUUUAGCCUACUUUGAGAGGAUUUCGGGAUUUACCUGGACGUAUUUGAGUGUACUGCAUAUAAUAAUCAAGUGGCUGGACAUGAGAAGGUUCUGUAUGGCUCUAUCAGGAGAGGCACAGAGAAUGUUUGUUUCAUGCUGUGCACGAGAUCAGAUUGUUUGGUUGGAUGAAGCAGUGGACUCGAUUUCCAGGCUGUUGUGAUGUUCAAUUAAGAUUGCAUUAUCGAGAUUGGAAUCACAAGAACAUGGAAAGAACUGGACGUGUCUCCCAGCGUGGUGCGUGUUUCGUCCGGGAAUUAAUCUUGUGAUGUUUGCUCGAGGCGAUGUAGCCUUGAUUGUCACAGUAGAUUGGUGUUGGGCCGGGUGUCGUUGAGGAGGCGGCGAAGCCAGAUGGCCUCUUUGCAUGCGGAACUAGCCUCCGCCUCACAGCUGGAGCAGGCAACGACGCUCUUCUUCUUGCUGCUAACUNNNNNNNNNNNNNNNNNNNNNNNNNNNNNNNNNNNNNNNNNNNNNNNNNNNNNNNNNNNNNNNNNNNNNNNNNNNNNNNNNNNNNNNNNNNNNNNNNNNNNNNNNNNNUCAAUGUUGAGGUCCAGGAUUGUCAAGGGUUCUUGCACAAAGUGGAAUUCGAAUGGAUUAGCGCACCUUCCAUGGCGUCCAUAUCCCCUCUAUAACUAGAAAAAAAACACACUCCAACAAGCGAACGAAGCAUUUUCCUAGGCUAUGGCAUCUCACCAGACGGGCAUUUCAAUGGGACUGCAUCACGUCAAGUGGGAGAAAAUCUGCCUUUGCCAGUGCUGCCCAUUUCCCUCUGCAGCCUGCUCUAGCACCACCGGCUCUUGUCCCUCCUGCCCUGCCCGGCCCUCAAGCCAUGCCCAAUCCGAACGACCUGCGAAUCUUCGAGACUCACUGCAGCCGCUCCUCUUUGCAGAUCUUCUCGCCAGAACAAGGGCAAGCCACCACCACGGCUGAUUGCUCGCAGCUGUACACGACAUCCCUGAAAGUUUUGUGGAGACUUUACUUGCUGGAGUGGAACUUCUGGGAAUUCCAAGCGGCUCUCAAGUCUCUUGAAGUUGACAGGGAAAAAUGGAAAGUUGCCUUUAUCAUUCCCCACACCUUGGUGAGACGUCCCCUCCUGGACGCAUGCUGGGUGUGUGACUGUAAUGGGAGGGAGCGGAGGUGCGAAAGAAUGGGAAAAGAAGUGGAGGUGAAGGAUUUGGAGGAGAAUUCGCCGCCAGAUGGAAAGAGCCUGACGUGUCUCCUUGCGUGACGUGUCAGCCACGUGGCUGUCCGCCUCUUCAAUCAUGAUCGUGGUUGUCCUCGGAAGGGCCGGAGGGUGGCGUGGGCUGACCCUGGAUGAGCAUUCUCCGGGAGGUCCUUUCGAGAAGAGUGUGGAUCUUGUUAGCAACAGGAAGGCGCAAUUCGAAAUUGAAAAGCUCGGCCUGUUGGCUCAUCACCAAAAAUGAGCCUGGCCUGGAACAAUCGAUAUUGCCGCUGAUCAUGAUCACCAAUGUGAUGGCAAGAAGUAUCCUUCCACGAUCCAUUCCAGCCACAAAAGCACUAAACGUAGUGAUGAUAUCGUUGUAUAAGAACCAAGAGCUGUGCUUGCUCUGCUACGAUUGGAUCCAAUGGGCCUCCAGUGUUUUAUAUUCAUUCACAUAGAAAGUUCUCCACCGGGCUUGGUAAACAGUCAAGUCCUUUGCACGUGCCAUCUGUCAAAACAAGACUCGUUAGCUUCCAAGCCAGAACACUCUACGAGCAGUUUUUCAAAGUCCUGCACAAAAGACAGCUCGCCAUUUGAAGUCUAUAAGCUCUUGGUACCAAAUUACCUGGAUUUCCAGGCAGCCUUGGUGCAACUUUGCAUGGGCCAAGAGCAUGACCUGACCACGCAAGUCUACAAAUGACGCUAGAUUUGCGUGAUGCAGCCAAGGAGCAACUUAGAAAUCUAUCACGAGAAAGAAAAUAAAAUUUUAAAAGCUUUAAGAACUUUCUAAGACAACACCCUUUCUAAGAAUGUACUUUAGACUAGUCUGAAACCCAUGCCGCAUUCGCACUUUUCAAUGUUGUCCAGCGCGAAUUGAGCCGGAUAAACGUGGUAGCACGGCUCCAUCGUCUCCCUCACCGAGCAGACCACGCUCUUGUUCUGGUCGCACACGAACUGCACGGGCCGCACGCCCUCCAGCCCCGCCGCCGAGUAGCCAAACGUGGAUGGCGGGCUCGUCACCAGGACAUCGCUCAUCGACAGCAAGUAGAUCUCCAUCACCGCCUGUGCGUCGUGAUCCAAGUUCCCUGUGUUUUGCACGCCCUCCACGCUCGGCUGGUGGAUGGACACCGAGGAGCCGUCCGCUAGAUCGUAUCCCAGCACCUUGCUCUUGAGCGUCUCCGAGUACUGCAAGUUGAGCGACACCACCAGCACCGCCACCUUCUUGCUGUUCUUCCUCACCGACGAUCUGGGAGCUCGCUCCUGGGUGGUGUUUGCGAGCGCGCCUUGUUGCACCAGGCAGUCGAACGUAUCCUCGGCGAGGUUGGGUGGCGAGAACCAGAUGUGGCUUCGCAGCUGGACCCCGACUAGAAGCUCGGCCUGGGCCAGGUACGCGUCGUAGUACCUGGCCGCCUUGUCCCGAAGUCACUGGGAAGCAACAGGUACCUCACCAGGAGAUGGAAGAUGGCCUCCUGCUGUGGGAACCAUUCCUCGAGCUUGCUCCUGAAAGCCGGGACGUUGUAGAGUGCCGGAGUGAAGUACUGGCCGGAGGAGAGGACGAUCCACCGCGCGCUGGAGUUAAGAGCUUGCUGUUGAUCUUGGCAGAAGAAGGCCUUGUCCUGGUCCCUGUAGUUGUAAUCGAGAUAGGCCACCAAGCUCACGUCGACGCCGCGGCUGCAGUUGGGCGAUCCCACCAGGCUUCCAAUCCACUUGGAGGCGUCCCACGGCGCCAACUCGAGGUGCUUCCAGCUCGACGGCAGCAGCCAGGAGCUGGGUGGAAACGGCUCGCAGAAGAGCGUGUCCAGGUUCUCCAACCUCGCGAUCAGCAUCGUCCUGUCGGUGAGCAGCGGGUAGAGAAACGCUGCUACUAUAGCCACCAUCUUGUUGCCGAUCCCCUGGCUGGCGGGAACGUAGACGAGGUAGCCGCAUGUACUACAGUUCGCGCACUGCUCGGGCCCCGGAGCGCACCUCCCGCGCAAAGCCUCCACUCUAGGAUUUUCCUUUGGAGCGACUCGGAUGGCUCGAAGCUCGUCGAUCUUCGGCGGCUGUAGAAGUCGUACUCGUUCCUGCUCCUGCAAGUGUCGCUGCCGUUGUAGCUUGUGGUGUUGUUGCUGAUCCGGAAGUUUGAUCCCAGAGUUCGGCUCCGGGACAUCAUCGCAGAGUCGGAAUUUAUGUCGAGAACCCAUAUGAGUAGCAGUGCUGCAGCGGAGAAGAGGAGCACGAAGAACAGCAAGCUCGGGCUGUAACUUUUCAUCCUCCGAUCCUGGAAAGUUGCCUCCCGAACUCCACCUCAAUGCAAAAAAUUCCUCUUAGUUGGUGAUGGUGAUUACUAACCUGAAGAUCAGAAAGAAUUAAGAUUUGAGCAACUAAGAAACAAUUCCGUGGCUUACCAUGUGGACGGGACACGCGACCAAAUACUCAAGACGAAGAAGGAACUCACAGCUCCAGCCAAUUGACUUCGUCGCUCACCAUCUUUCUGGUGGAGUCUCACGGUACUGGGAUGAGAGCGGUAUCCAAGGAUCUUCCACACGAGCUCGCCUGGAGCUGUCCUUCAAGCUGUUCUCCGUGAGCUCUUUGUUGCUAUCCGACCGUAGCAGGGUUUCCACCACUUAGUCCUUCAGAACCAGCCCCUCCAACCGGUUCUCCGAGAGAUCCGAGCAAACUCAAAGAGUCUGCCCAAGCUGAGAGACAAGAUACAGCCCACACGUGCUCCUCCGAAACGUUGUUCGAGCACUUCCAAGCCCGCACACCCAUUUGGAUGGCUGAGAGAUGUAGAGCCGAGAAUGACAUUCCGGAGUUUGCUGCUGGACGGGGGAAUGAGACUGUUGAAGAGCUCCUGGAGAGCCACGCAGUCGCGAAAGAUCCCAUCGCGCCAAAGGCCUAGCAGCUCCAUGUACCCCCGAGAAGGACGAGCCAGAGAUCAUGUUGCCGGCUCGUGAUCGUCCAGCUGAACUGAUUCCUUGACAUGUCUAACACCCUGAGAAGUUCCCUCUAAACAGAAGAGAUACCUGUCCUGUCCGGAGUUCAAUCUCCAGUGAGGCUAGAACUUCCAGGCUGUGAACCUUCUGAUGGAACAAAACCUUGAUUUCUUAAAGGAAGAUUCAGCAGCAGUUACCUGCGAUUUAAACCAGUUUCUAAUGAGCAAAGACACGAAGAUGAGCCGUUUGAAUAAAAUCAAAAGGGAGUCAUACCUCAAUUAGCGUAAGAACCGGAAAUACUGCGGCCUGAGCAAUUUACACUGGCCUCCGCAAAAACUGCUUGAAAAGUUUACCCUUCGCGACUCAAAUAUCACGUCACAAACGCCACAACAGCUUUCCACCGCUCCAAUUCAUUCUCGCCUUUGCAGCCCCCCUAGCAAACGGGCUGUCCAAACGCUCGGCCUACGCCCCAGCUACAUGCCUGUAAAGUGAAGAGAAUAUUAGCAAUCUUGAGAUUCUUCAACAGCGAGAGUUCACCUUCAAGUUGACUUGGUCAGAUUUUUUAAGAACUUCGACUAUGUCGUUGUUGAAGAGAUUGUCAAAAAGGCCAUCAGUUCCCAAAACAAUGAUGUCCCCCUUAGACAGGGAUCUUGAAUUCCUGUAGACGGAAAAUUAGCGAACUUAAGGGAAAAGCAAGAGUACCUCUGCAACCGUCGGAUGGUCACUAAAUGUUCCAACUUGAAACGGAAAGUUAAAACUAUGCUGCAUGGGCUCCGAGCUUGCAACUACUUGCCAAUUGCGAACUAUGAUGAACCCAAGUCUCCCAAGUUUGCUGCGUACAUGUCUGAAAUAUAUGACCCGACUCAGCCUCAAACAUCAACUCCGACUAGCUUACUUGCUCAAACAAUGCAGCCACAAGGACCGUUGCUGAUCCCUGGGCCUUUGUACUGCCGGCGGCUUUGACAAGCACGUCCUUGGGGUCCGGUUUCCCUUUGCUGUUUACAACCAAUGCCUUACAAUGUCCCAUAAGCUCCCGAGAAUACAUCCCCGAAUCAAUGCCUGAAAAGCAGUAAAAACUCUUUUGAAGAAACAGACUCAAAGAAAGAUUUUUCUUACCUUCUCCGGCCCAGCCCCCAACACCAUCAGCAACACCCAUCCAGGAGCCUUCAGUGACGAAGGCAUCUUCACCCCCUCUUUGAGCCUGUAAACAGCAAAGCUUAGAAGAUCUACAAAAAUUAGCAAGUAAGCUUUGCACCUUCUCAGGAUGGGGACGCGUCGCAGCAGCAUAGUCCAGUCGAAGCAACCUUAAAAGCAAGAACACCAUGAAUUUCACCAAUAGCCACGCGAAACGUAAACAAGCUCACCGGCUGCUAGAAUCCGUUUCAGCAUUCUGGCACCCUUGCAAGCUUGAGACUUCAGUAUAUAGAGAAGGAAAGAAAAAUUUGCAAACCUCUUCGCCAUUUUUGCAAGCCGAGUUGUGUGUCUUGGCCGGUUGUGGGAGGGAAACAGCCGAUUCAUCGAAAGUAACAUGUGUUGUCUCUUCGGGCGCUUCAAGAGAUAGAGAGAUCAGCAACACCUCACCAAAAAUUCCAGGCUACAUUCUUACCUCGCGUGCUUAAAGAAGGAGAGGACGUUGCUCGUUGUGAGCCAUGAUCUGCGGUAAACUUGCGUGAUUAGUGCUUGGAUCUUAUUUUCUUUCCUCGCAGAGAGUUGAUUCCACUGGUGGACAAGGCAUGGGUUAUGGAUAUGGGUGGGACUUUGGUUGAGCAGCUAAAUUCUACUCUCUAGUUCGUGGAAUGUUACUCUUAAGAUAAAACUAUACACUGACCGAUCAAACCAGUGAGGCUGGCUGGGCAAUUAAACGUUUUUAACAUUGCAACGGACUUCGCAGGCUCAACUAACAACAGCGGAAGGGCUCCUGGAACCAGGCAGCAGCGGAGGACAUCCACAUGACUAAUGGCGCCUCCCAACUCUACAUUGUUAACAGCACUACACAAUUGGGCACCAUAGAUGGAACAGGAGUAGUAUAAAUGAUUACAUUUUGGUCAGCCAAACUAUUCUUUAAUCAUGUGGUGUACUGUUUAGAUUUUUCCUUGACAAAAUGGUAUGGCGGGGAAUUCCAAGAGUUCUUGACCGCCUCAUGUCUGACUAGGAUGCAUAUGCUGCUUACAACACUCCUAUCAACAACCAGAACUCACUGUGGUCACGACUAAGUCAUGCCAGCAUGGGUGCCCGACUUUGCCCAACAAGUCCAAGAGCUUUAGAAUGCACUGCCCACGACCACUGAUACUGAGGUCAGCUGACUGAUUGACAUGCUCACACAGCAGCACAGGAGUAUUUUCUCAGUUCACUCCCACCACCCCAACUGGAUGCUUUCCUAGAUUUCACUGGUGGGACAAAUUAUAAAACUUUUUAAAAUCAUAAGUUUAUUGUAUUAAACUGAUUAAUAAAGUGGCAGCAAUAAACAUUCUAUUCUGCCCAUGACAAUGAUGCAAGCAAUAAUCACAAUGACUAUGACUAUGUAUGUCUCAUGAACUAUCCUUCUACACAGUUGUCUGCAAAAUUGAUAACCUACAUAGAUGUACCUUUGGUCGAUAUACCCAUAGUUUAUUUGUAUCAGCAAUGGACCUACACAAUCCAUAAUAAUUCCGUUAAAACUCCACACAUAAAAAGUCUCUACAAAGCAAUUUAGUGUCAAGUUUUUAAGACCGUGUAAAACUCGAGUUUCACUGAGACCGGUUCUUACCAUCAAAACCAAGAUCGUCAUCAUCUACACACAUAAAAGAUGAUUUUGACGGCUCUAGACAAGCCCGGUAAAAGAAAACUUCCGAGACGACUUGGCAGCAAACAAAUCAGAUUGUGUUACGCGGACAGCAAGAGUAAAAAAUGAAAUAGAAGGGAACAGAAGACCGUGUACCUAAAAUCGUGCACGAUUCACGACGAAGUCAUCCAAAGGACCUCGCCUCCCCUCCUCCGGCUAUAAAAUGCCUGCCCCUCCCUCAUAUAGCUCCAUCAGUCUUUUCCAAGCUCACAAGAUGGCUCAUCUUCGUUUUGUUCUAUCCUUCCUCCUAGCAAUCAGCUCCAUCUUGUUUGUGCAUGCCGCGGAUGAAGAUAUGCUGCAGGACUUUUGCGUUGCAGACAAUGGCUCCAAGAUCAAAGUGAACGGCGUCGUCUGCAAGGCGGCCGCCGAUGUGAAAGCCGAGGACUUCAAGUCGAGCCUGCUGGCGACUCCCGGGAACACCGACAACAAGCUCGGCUCCAACGUCACGCUGGCGAGUGUCAACAAUUUCCCCGGUCUCAACACCUUUGGUGUAGCUUUUGCCCGCGUCGACUAUGCUCCCGGCGGCACCAAUCCCCCCCACGUCCAUCCCCGAGGAUCCGAGCUGCUCUUCCUCGUGCACGGGAACCUCUUAGUCGGAUUCGUCACCACCUUGCCGGACAACAAGCUCUUCGCCCAAAUGCUCUAUCCUGGAGAUCUGUUCGUCUUCCCUCGGGGACUCGUCCACUUCCAGCUUAACGUUGGAAAGGAGCCUGCGGUUGCGAUGGCUGGCUUCAACAGCCAAAACCCCGGGGCAACUCAGGUGGCCAAGGCGGUGUUUGAUUCCAAUCCUCCAAUCAACGACGACGUGAUCGCGAAAGCAUUCCAGAUUGACGACCGUGGUCUCAUCCAGAAGUUGAGAGAGCUCAUCGGCAUGACUUGAAAGUUUCUCCAAAGGUUGCGAGGCUGACUUGACUAAGUUACAUAUAUAAAUAAAUUAUUUUUCCAAAGCUCUUACCUUUCGGAAACUUUCGUAAGCACAGCUAGAUCGCUUUCCCGCCAAUUUCCAUUUUAAACACGGUCCUGGAGCGAUUUGCCAGGACAUACGUCGAUCCAAUGCCCGAAACAUAUCGUAAUGCGAUCGGCAAGAUGCCACCAAAACCCUACAAACCAGAGCAUCCGGCACAAACGGCAUGGCACCAGCAAUUCCUCGGCAUUCUCCAGUUGCCUGCCACGGCCGAAGAUAUCGAUCAUGCAGACGAAGUGAUCACUGCCUGGCGCGAUCCUAAAAUCCCCUGUCACGAGAAGAAAGAAAUCCUUAUUGCGAUUCACGGAGCUGAUGUAGGCGCAGGCCGGAGUGUCACCUUUCCCAUUGCGCCCUUGCCUCAAUGAGCAAACGCAGUGAUCCCUUUAUGCAGCAUUGUAAUGGGCUAAAGGUGACACUGUAGUGAAGUGAGGUCCAUGAUCUUACAAUGUUCAAGGGAAAGACCAAAACUACACCUUGUCAACUCACCCAAGCCCUCUCUAAGGGGCUUUUGGCAAGAUGACAAAGUAUCUCCUUUAGCCUACUUUGAGAGGAUUUCGGGAUUUACCUGGACGUAUUUGAGUGUACUGCAUAUAAUAAUCAAGUGGCUGGACAUGAGAAGGUUCUGUAUGGCUCUAUCAGGAGAGGCACAGAGAAUGUUUGUUUCAUGCUGUGCACGAGAUCAGAUUGUUUGGUUGGAUGAAGCAGUGGACUCGAUUUCCAGGCUGUUGUGAUGUUCAAUUAAGAUUGCAUUAUCGAGAUUGGAAUCACAAGAACAUGGAAAGAACUGGACGUGUCUCCCAGCGUGGUGCGUGUUUCGUCCGGGAAUUAAUCUUGUGAUGUUUGCUCGAGGCGAUGUAGCCUUGAUUGUCACAGUAGAUUGGUGUUGGGCCGGGUGUCGUUGAGGAGGCGGCGAAGCCAGAUGGCCUCUUUGCAUGCGGAACUAGCCUCCGCCUCACAGCUGGAGCAGGCAACGACGCUCUUCUUCUUGCUGCUAACUGCAUUGUGAAGGCUAAACAAUUUAGCCAAAGCCAGCCCAGUAAGCUUGACUCGUGGCCUUAAGACCGCAAGAAAACGUAUCUCGGAAGUACGAAAAGACGCGUUUUAGUCAAUGUUGAGGUCCAGGAUUGUCAAGGGUUCUUGCACAAAGUGGAAUUCGAAUGGAUUAGCGCACCUUCCAUGGCGUCCAUAUCCCCUCUAUAACUAGAAAAAAAACACACUCCAACAAGCGAACGAAGCAUUUUCCUAGGCUAUGGCAUUGAACACAAGGCUUACAAGGUCUACAAUCCUGUCUCCAAGGCGCUGAUCAUCUCACCAGACGUGCAUCCAAUGAGACUCCAUCACGUCAAGUGGGAGAAAAUCUGCCUUUGCCAGUGCUGCCCAAUGCCCAAUCCGAACGACCUGCGAAUCUUCAAGACUCACUGCAGCCGCUCCUCUUUGCAGAUCUUCUCGCCAGAACAAGGGCAAGCCACCACCACGGCUGAUUGCUCGCAGCUGUACACGACAUCCCUGAAAGUCUUGUGGAGACUUUGAACUUCUGGGAAUUCCAAGCGGCUCUCAAGUCUCUUGAAGUUGACAGGGAAAAAUGGAAAGUUGCCUUUAUCAUUCCCCUCACCUUGGUGAGACAAGCGCCUCCUGGACGCAUGCUGGGUGUGUGACUGUAAUGGGAGGGAGCGGAGGUGCGGAAGAAUGGGAAAAGAAGUGGAGGUGGAGGAUUUGGAGAAUUCACCGCCAGAUGGAAAGAGCCUGACGUGUCUUCUUGCGUGACGUGUCAGCCACGUGGCUGUCCGCCUCUUCAAUCAUGAUGGUGGUUGUCCUCGGAAGGGCCGGAGGGUGGCGUGGGCUGACCCUGGAUGAGCAUUCUCCGGGAGGUCCUUUCGAGAAGAGUGUGGAUCUUGUUAACAACAGGAAGGCGCAAUUCGGAAUUGAAAAGCUCGGCCUGCUGGCUCAUCACCGAAAACGAGCCCGGCCUGGAACAUUUGAUGUUGCCGCUGAUCAUGAUCACCAAUGCGAUGGCAACAAGCAUCCUUCCACGAUCCAUUCCAGCCACAAAAGCACUAAACGUAGUGAUGAUAUCGUUGUAUAAGAACCAAGAGCUGUGCUUGCUCCGAUACGAUUGGAUCCAAUGGGCCUCCAGUGUUUUAUAUUCACAGAAAAAGUUCUUCACCGGGCUUGGUAAACAGUCAAGUCCUUUGCGCGUGCCAAUGUCAAAACAAGACUCGUUAGCUUCCAAGCCAGAACACUCUACGAGCAGUUUUUCAAAGUCCUGCACAAAAGACAGCUGCUGCCCUAGCAAAUGGGCUGUCCAAACGCUCGGCCUGCGCCCCAGCUAUAUGCCUGUAAAGUGAGGAGAAUAUUAGCAAUCUUGAGAUUCUUCAACAGCGAGAGUUCACCUUCAAGUUGACUUUGUCGGACCCAAGAGAUUUUUUAAGAACUUUGAUUAUGUCGUCGUUGAAGAGAUUGUCAAAAAGGCCAUCAGUUCCCAAAACAAUGAUGUCCCCCUUGCAGACAGGGAUCUUGAAUUCCUGUAGACAGAAAAUUAGCGAAUUUAAGGGAAAAGCAAGAAUACCUCUGCAACCGUUGGAUGGUCACCAAAAGUUCCAACUUGAAACAGAAAGUUAAAACUAUGCUGCAUGGGCUCCGAGCUUGCAACUACUUGCCAAUUGCGAACUAUGAUGAACCCCGAGUCUCCCAAGCUUGCUGCAUACAGUGUCUGAAACAUAUGACCCGACUCAGCCUCAAACAUCAAAUCCGACUAGCUUAGUUGCUCAAACAAUGCAGCCACAAGAACCGUUGCUGAUCCUUUGGCCUUUGUACUGUGGAGACAAUUGAUGACAAGUCUCCACAUCAGCAAAAAAGACAUGUCAUUCAUCCAAGACACCAACCACCAAGAGUCACACCCAUACUGUUAUGUACAUAACCAUACCAAAGCAAUGAAGUCGAUAGAGCAUUCUGCGUACACUGGCAAACACAGCAACACAACGAGCAGGACCACGCUAGGGCUCUUGUAGUCCUUGCUAGGGUGGAACGACAGAUUCAAGAACGCAAGUGAGCACAACAUGAUGUCCAUCCGUGCUUCUACCCUAAUUGUCGCUCUAUGUGCAUGGCGUAUGGGCGUCCCUUCCAGUGAUUCCCACUGCCUCUUCCCCGCCCCUGCCCCCGCCCCCGCCCCCCCCCCCCCCCCCCUCGCUUCUAGCUUACUCUAUUGUUUUGUCCUUUCUUCUAGAAACUAAUGGCUACCAGUACUCCACCUCGCACUACAUCUAGAACCACCCUAGCGAGCACCAUGGCCAUCCUGGCUGGCAACUAAGAUGUAGGAUGGGAGAAGCUACUCUAGAAGUUCACAGGCGAGAACUUCACAACUUGGAAGACCAAAGUCCAAUUAAUCCUAAUGGCAAAAAAUUGUUGAGAUUUGGUGGAGGGAACCGAAGUGAGACCUCAAGAUAUAGAAGCAGCCUUGCAAGCUACUUAAGACUCUAAGAACGGCAAAGCCCUUUCCGUGAUUGGACUAGGUCUUGGAGAUGAAUUUAUUCAUCUCCUUGAUCUAGAAAAAUCCGCCAAGGCCAAUUGGGACUCCCUUUCCCAAGUCUUUGUAGCCAAAGCUGCUAAUGCUAAAUUGGUUCUGACCCAGAAAUUUUUCUCCCUAUGCAUGCAGCCUGGUGAGAUGAUGGCAACAUACAUUGGGAAGCUCAAGGGUUUAAUGCAGCAGCUGAAGGAAGUAGGUGCUGCAGUUUCCGAUGACUAUGCAAAAGCCUUCUUGCUCUACUCUGUAUCUUAAGAGUUGCAACAAUUGUCCUCCAUGCUUUCUUUUGUCCCAGGCAAAACCAUGGAGGAGCUCUACUCUGAUCUACUCAAGGAAGAGCACAAGAUUGCUGAGCGUCAAGCUGGCCAUCAAGGAUCCCCUCAAGCUGCUCGCGAGCAGGCCUUGUUUCUUGGUAAGAAACAAUCGAGUGGGGAGUAGAGGAAAGGAGGCACUAGCCGUGGGCCUCGUAUCUCUUCUGCUACAACUCCCAGCUCUUGAUUUAACUUCUCCAAGAAGAAAAAAGGUCCUUGCAACUAUUGUGGAAAGAUGGGGCAUGUCGAGUGUGAGUGUUGUGCAAAGAAGGCUGCCACCCAGCACAUGCUUACCCAGAGCAACUUGUUGUUGAUGAUGGCUCUUUACCCGUCACCGGUGUCUGCUCUUGAGGUUCUAUGGCUGGAUAGUGGUGCCUCUUUUCACAUGACUCCCUUAAGGUCUGCCUUUCACACUUACAAGGCUCUUCAAGCUCCACAACAGGUUUAUGUCGGCGACAAGCGACCACUCUAGGUGGAAGGUCGUGGCAUGGUGGUGAUCAGGCUAUCCACUGGACCUUUUAAGGAGGUUCAUCACGUGCACUUUGUACCUGAAGCAGCACAUACAGUUCUUUCUAUAGGUGUAGCCUCAGAUCAAGGCUUUACUACCACCUUCUUCCCAAAAGGGUGCACCAUCUAUGGUCGUGAUGGUACUUCUGUAGCUAGUGGCAUGAGGUAUGAAACACUCUACUGUUUAAAUGCAGAAUUGGUUUUUCCAACUCAAGUGCUUGCUUUCUGAGCACAAGACACCAUUGAGCUCUGGCAUGCUCGUCUGGGGCAUGUCAAUGAACGAGAUCUACAUGCCUUGGCUCGUAACCAGCAUGCUAAAGGCAUCAUGCUCCCAACUGGCCAUCUAGGCGUGUGUGAAACUUGCUAUCUUGGGAAGCAAGUUCACCUUCCUUUUCCAUCAAGAACCAUGGAGGACCAAGCUACAGGCUUAUUGGAUCUGGUUCACAAUGACGUGUGCUACUUGCCAUGGAAACACUCAGCCACAAGAGGUACUUUGUGUCUUUUAUCAAUGACCAUUCCAGAUAUGCUGUGGUGAGCCUUCUCCAUGCCAAGAGCGAAGUGUUCAACCACUUUAAGCUUUUUAAGAGCUGGGCAGAGACGUCUACUGGCCAAAAGAUUCGUGUGUUACGCACAGAUGGUGGUGGAGAGUACCUGAACAAAGAGUUUCUCAACUUUCUAGCUGAGGCUAGCAUUGUUCACCAGUACACAACAGCCCAUACUCCCCAACAGAACGGCAUGGCAGAGCACCUCAAUCGCAUGCUACUAGAGACUGUUUGUUGCCUUCUCCAACACACAAGCAUACCCAACUCUUUUUGGGGUGAAGCCAUUAACACGGUUGUUUAUAUCCGUAAUCGCCUUCCCACAAGGAGCACUGGUGUGGUUCCUUAUCAAGCUUGGACUGGGAAGUGUCCUCAGUUAGGGCACUUGAGGGUCUUUCGCUGCACAAUGUAUGCUUGCAUUCCAGAUGCGACUCGGCAGAAGCUGGAUCCUAGGAGCCAGAAGACCAUCUUCGUGGGCUAUCAUGCUCAUUCCAAGGCCUAUCACCUACCUCUAUAAUCUUGCUCUCAAGAAGCUCGUGGUCAGCCAAGAUGUCUCUUUCAAUGAGCAAGAUCUUUAUCGCCACAUUCAAGGUACUAUUCCUUCAAGUUCUAACUUGGUGGACUUGACCCCAGUGCUGGAAGACGAGCUCACCCACCCACCAACACCAGCAAUCCAAAGGCUACUCGUUCCAGAAGGAGGAACACCUCUUCCACUUGGUGAUGAACCUUCUCCAGCAACUCUGCUGCUACCAGUUCCUCUAGUCACUUCGGUGGCUACUAGCAGCAACACUACUUCAUCCAAUGAGCAGAAUCUUGCUGCUACUGUGGACGAGUUGUUCAUUGGUGAAGAAACAGUUGGAGGAUCUUCCCGCUCACCUCCUCCAGAUUCUCUCAUGACACCACCACCUCGUCAAGAGAUUGGAGCUAUUACCUGUUUAGGACAAGUGAGCAAGCCAACGGUCAAAGCUCUAGAAUCUCUUGCUCAAGCUCCAUGCAAGAAGGGAUUCUACUGGGCCAUGAGCUCCAUUGUUGAACCUCGUGGCUACCAAGUUGCUCUCUCCAAUCCUGAUGCCUCACAGUGGCAAGCAGCCAUGCAGGACGAGUAUGACUCAUUGAUCAAGAAUGGAAUCUGGACAUUGGUUCCCCUCCCUCCCGGCAGGAAGGCAGUCACAGCCAAAUGGCUGUUCAAGAAGAAAUAUCGAGCUGAUGGCAGCAUUGAGCGCUACAAGGCACACUUUGUAGCUCGUGGUUUCUCUCAGAUCCAAGGAGUUGAUUACUCUCAAACUUAUAGCCUUGUUAUAAAGCUGACAACAAUUUGUGUUUUGAUGAGUCUUGCAGUUGAGCUCGACCUGGAGCUCCAUCAACUUGAUGUGAGAACUGCAUUCCUGAAUGGUGAUCUUGAGGAGGAGGUGUAUGUUGCCCAGCCUCCUGGAUUUAUACGUCCCGGACAAGAGCAUCUAGUCUGCCGCUUGCACAAGACUAAGAGGUUCCCGUGCACGAGGAAGAGCAGCUCGGAUCCUCGGGGGUGGACGUGGGGGGGAUUGGUGCCGCCAUGAGCGUAGUCAAUGCGGGCAAAAGCUACACCAAAGGUGUUGAGACCGGGGAAAUUGUUGACACUCGCCAGCGUGACGUUGGAGCUGAGCUUGUUGUCGGUGUUCCCGGGAGUCGCCAGCAGGCUCAACUUGAAGUCCUCGGCUUUCACAUCGGCGGCCGCCUUGCAGACGACGCCGUUCACUUUGAUCUUGGAGCCAUUGUCUGCAACGCAAAAGUCCUGCAGCAUAUCUUCAUCCGCGGCAUGCACAAACAAGAUGGAGCUGAU
rnacentral:lncRNA from 1 species